GAUGAACGCUGGCGGCGUGCCUAAUACAUGCAAGUCGAGCGAACGGACGAGAAGCUUGCUUCUCUGAUGUUAGCGGCGGACGGGUGAGUAACACGUGGAUAACCUACCUAUAAGACUGGGAUAACUUCGGGAAACCGGAGCUAAUACCGGAUAAUAUUUUGAACCGCAUGGUUCAAAAGUGAAAGACGGUCUUGCUGUCACUUAUAGAUGGAUCCGCGCUGCAUUAGCUAGUUGGUAAGGUAACGGCUUACCAAGGCAACGAUGCAUAGCCGACCUGAGAGGGUGAUCGGCCACACUGGAACUGAGACACGGUCCAGACUCCUACGGGAGGCAGCAGUAGGGAAUCUUCCGCAAUGGGCGAAAGCCUGACGGAGCAACGCCGCGUGAGUGAUGAAGGUCUUUGGAUCGUAAAACUCUGUUAUUAGGGAAGAACAUAUGUGUAAGUAACUGUGCACAUCUUGACGGUACCUAAUCAGAAAGCCACGGCUAACUACGUG
rnacentral:rRNA from 1 species